UACGUAGGCAGCAAGCGUUGUUCGGAGUUACUGGGCGUAAAGGGUGUGUAGGCGGUUCCUUAAGUUUGCUGUGAAAUCUCCCGGCUUAACCGGGAGGGUGCGGUGAAUACUGAGGGACUAGAGUACGGGAGAGGAAAGUGGAAUUCCUGGUGUAGUGGUGGAAUGCGUAGAUAUCGGGAGGAACACCAGUGGCGAAGGCGGUUACCUGGGGCUUUGCUGACGCUGAUGCGCGAAAGCGUGGGGAGCGAUCCGG
rnacentral:rRNA from 1 species